rnacentral:rRNA from 1 species
CACGUAGGGUGCGAGCGUUGUCCGGAAUUAUUGGGCGUAAAGAGCUCGUAGGCGGUGUGUCGCGUCGGCCGUGAAAACCUGCAGCUUAACUGUGGGCUUGCGGUCGAUACGGGCAUCACUGGAGUUCGGCAGGGGAGACUGGAAUUCCUGGUGUAGCGGUGAAAUGCGCAGAUAUCAGGAGGAACACCGGUGGCGAAGGCGGGUCUCUGGGCCGAUACUGACGCUGAGGAGCGAAAGCGUGGGAGCAAACAGG